AUAUCUCAUAAUAGCAGCCAAAGCAAUAUGAUUUGUACUCAAAUAAAAAUCUGUUGGAUAUUGGUAGUUGUUUUGGGGAUAAUGUUUGAAAUAAGCGAUGCGGGUUUAACUGUAUGCAAUUGUCAUUACCAAGAUGGUGGUUGUCCGGCCGGCCAGAAAGAGUCAGGAAAAUGCACUCUUGGAGGAAAGAAAUAUCCCCGAUGCUGCUUAACUAGUGGCGUUGACGACGGGUGUGACUGUAAAGCAACAUGCAAUGCGAAUGAAUACCAGCAAGACUCGUGCACAUCCGGGCAUAUUUGCUGUCCUAGACAGCCGAACUCACAGUACUAUGAUCCUGAUAGGGUUCAACAGCAGUAAUAAACUGGACGUUUUCAGAUCGAGAAGAAUCAAUGCAUAGACCAAGGACCGUGACGUUUUACCUGAAACAAAUAAAUUGAAAACCUUAAAUGUUGUUUUAAGAUAGUGAGUUUUAGUAAAUAUUGAAGGAUAAAUGUAGUCACAAAUCAUCUGUCAA